rnacentral:rRNA from 1 species
AGAGUUUGAUCCUGGCUCAGGACGAACGCUGGCGGCGUGCCUAACACAUGCAAGUCGAGCGGGUCCCGCAGCAAUGUGGGAUCAGCGGCGAACGGGUGAGUAACACGUGAGUAACCUGCCCUUAAGACCGGGAUAACCUUGAGAAAUCAGGGCUAAUACCAGAUGUGGUCUAAGAAGCGCAUGUUUUUUAGAUCAAAGAGAACGCAAGAACUGCUUAAGGAGGGACUCGCGGCCUAUCAGCUUGUUGGCGGGGUAACAGCCCACCAAGGCUAAGACGGGUAGCUGGUCUGAGAGGACGGUCAGCCACAAUGGAACUGAGACACGGUCCAUACUCCUACGGGAGGCAGCAGUGAGGGAUUUUCCACAAUGGGCGAAAGCCUGAUGGAGCGACGCCGUGUGUGUGAUGAAGUCUUUCGGGACGUAAAACACUGUCAGCAGGGAAGAUAUUGACGGUACCUGCAGAGGAAGGCCCGGCUAACUACGUGCCAGCAGCCGCGGUAAUACGUAGGGGCCAAGCGUUGUCCGGAAUUACUGGGCAUAAAGAGCUCGUAGGUGGCUUUGUAAGUCAGAUGUAAAAGGUUCCAGCUCAACUGGGAUUUGGCAUUUGAUACUGCAUUGCUAGAGAGUGGUAGAGGGAAGCGGAACUUCCGGUGUAGCGGUGAAAUGCGUAGAUAUCGGAAGGAACACCAGUGGCGAAAGCGGCUUCCUGGACCAUUUCUAACACUGAGGAGCGAAAGCUAGGGGAGCAAACGGGAUUAGAUACCCCGGUAGUCCUAGCCGUAAACUAUGUUCACUAGGUGUAGGUGGUAUCAACCCCNNUAGUGCCGCAGCUAACGCGUUAAGUANACCGCCUGGGGAGUACGNCCGCAAGGCUAAAACUCAAAAGAAUUGACGGGGGCCCGCACAAGCGGUGGAGCAUGUGGUUUAAUUCGAUGCUACGCGAAGAACCUUACCUGGGCUUGACAUCCAGCGAAUCCCGCGGAAACGUGGGAGUGCCCUUUUGGGAGCGCUGAGACAGGUGCUGCAUGGCUGUCGUCAGCUCGUGUCGUGAGAUGUUGGGUUAAGUCCCGCAACGAGCGCAACCCUCAUUGCUAGUUGUCCCGGCCUCGCGUCGGGAACUCUAGCGAAACUGCCCCUGAUAAAGGGGAGGAAGGUGGGGAUGAGGUCAAGUCAUCAUGGCCCUUACGCCCAGGGCAACACACGUGCUACAAUGGUAUAUACAAAGGGAAGCAAAUCCGCAAGGUAGAGCAAAUCCCAAAAAGUAUGCCUCAGUUCGGAUUGUAGGCUGCAAUUUGCCUGCAUGAAGCUGGAAUCGCUAGUAACCGCAGAUAAGAGCGCUGCGGUGAAUACGUUCUCGGGCCUUGUACACACCGCCCGUCACACCAUGAAAGUCAAGAACACCCAAAGUCGUAAAUCCAAUCCGCCUCGGCGGAAGGUAUACGCCUAAGGUGGUAUUGAUGAUUGGGGUGAAGUCGUAACAAGGUA